GAGUUUGAUCCUGGCUCAGGACGAACGCUGGCGGCGUGCUUAACACAUGCAAGUCAAGGACUGUAGCAAUACAGGACUGGCGCACGGGUGCGGAACACGUAGGUAAUCUACCCUUUAGGGGAGAACAACCCGUCGAAAGACGGGCUAAAACUCCGUAAUAUCACGAGGCGGCAUCGUUUUGUGAUCAAGCUUUCUAAAGGAUGAGCCUGCGUCUGAUUAGCUAGUUGGUGAGGUAACGGCUCACCAAGGCUACGAUCAGUAGCUGGUCUGAGAGGAUGAUCAGCCACAUUGGGACUGAGAUACGGCCCAGACUCCUACGGGAGGCAGCAGUGAGGAAUAUUGCUCAAUGGGGGAAACCCUGAAGCAGCAACGCCGCGUGAAGGAUGAAGGCGCUCUGCGUUGUAAACUUCUGUAGUUGGGGACAAAUGUAGGGUUACUACCCUAUUGAUGGUACCCAAAAAGUAAGGAUCGGCUAACUACGUGCCAGCAGCCGCGGUAAUACGUAGGAUCCGAGCGUUGUCCGGAUUUACUGGGUGUAAGGGGUGCGCAGGCGGACUGGUAAGUCAGUGGUGAAAUCUCGUCGCCUAACGACGAAACUGCCCUUGAUACUAUAGNCUUGAGUUCNGUAGAGAUCGGUGGAAUUCGAGUGUAGCAGUGAAAUGUGUAGAUUUUCGGAAGAACCCAGGUGCGAAGGCAGCAGAAUGGGGCCGGACCUACGCCUAUGCCCGAACCGNUGGGAAUUACAGGAAUAAAUCCCGUGAGUUACGCC
rnacentral:rRNA from 1 species